rnacentral:lncRNA from 1 species
UCGGAGUGGUGGGCUGCUGCCCUCACAAGCAUUGUGAGGGCAGCGGUUCAAGGCCCCACAAAAGUAUUUGUGGGGGCUAACGUGCUUAUUUAUUUAAUAUUUCAAAAAGUUUCCUCUCCCUCGUGCAAUACGAGUGGAGUAUGGACAUCCCUCUUCUGUAAGGAAUUAUUUGUCUGGGCAUGUACUUCGCAGAAUUCAAUGUAAUAAUAUAAGUCCCAAUCAUGUAUUUCUGAUUGUAAAUAUCAGUGUAAUAUAUCUGCUAUAAUAGCAGUUGUAAAUAUCUGUGUAAUGCAGUAAUAUGAUGAUUAAUCAGUAUUCAAAAAAAAAAAAAAACUCACAAGCUAGAGUUGCCUAUAAAUUAGGCAUAUGAGUUUCUAAUAUAUAGAUUAAUGAUAAAGAAACAAA